GUGGGAUAGCUGUCACUCAGAGAUUCUCGGCGCAGUAAGUGAGGGCCUACAGCAGCAGCCCAGGGGUUUGUAAACAAUCAGUCAAACUGCUCAGGACAGUAAGAGCCAGAAUGCUCUCCACAUGAAGCUGGAUGUUGACCUGUCUUGUCUCUCUCUGCCCUAUUCUUAGGGCCUGGUAUGAGAGAGGGGCAAGUAUUGAAGGAUCAGGGUACUGCCAGCAGGUGGCCACAGUGAGGGAGAGAACCAGACAGAUACCCUGGCAGCUUCCUCCCAGGAGCCUGGGCAGGAACCCUACCCCUGCACUUCCCCCAUGCCAGUGAUUCCAUCACCUCAGCCAAGGAGACCCUGUCUGCUUCUCUCAGCAGUUAGAAUCCAGGAGGCUCAGAGUCCCAAGAGGACAUCCCACACAGUCACUAGAAUGGAUGAAUCAGCAAGCAGGCUUCCUCCCACUCAGUGAGAGAUACCAGGCCAUUAUCUAGAUGCAGCGGGACAGAGAAGAGAAGAAAAACAUUCUAACGGCACCUUUGUGACAUCGGAGUUCAAUCAGUUUAGAUAAUCUGUACUUUUGCAAACAUAUAUUUGUUCAUAAAAAAUGUGUUCACUUGCACUGUUCUAA